GUUUAGUCACGUGAUCAAAAGCCGUAGAAUUUUUUUUGCCGUAGCGAACUCGCAUACCGUAGACAGAUUUUCCCAAGAUUUUAUACGUAUGUGCCCAUCCAAAGCUAUUUUCCGACUAUGUUUUUCCUUAUUAGGCAUUUUUCGAUAGGCACCUCUUUGCACAGAAUAGGCCGAGGUUUGUUUUGAUUGAUGAUAGAAGUUUGUAGCUGUUAACGUUGAAGAGUUACAGGAUUUUGAAUUUUAAGAAUUUGACUUCAAGAUAUCUUGGCCAAACAUCUGAAUGCAGUGGUUGUACAGUUAAACGUGUUUAUAUACUUUGUAAAAAAAAUGGUAUUUCUGGCAUGACUAUAAAAUGCUUAUAUUAUGUCAAUGACUUUAUAUUAAAGUUUUUAUUUAGCUUAAUCAUAUGAUUUUGAUAUUUGUUUCUUUCUGGAUUUUUGCCUAUCUCUUUACAGUAUUUAACAGCCUGGUCUGCAAAACAUCAAUAAUUUUUUAUAGUUUAAUUUACUGUUUUUAUCACAAUUCUGUUAAUUAACCUAUACAAACUUCACAGAUGGCUUAUAUACCUGGUUUCCUUUUUAGUUCUUACCCCCGUCUUUUUUAAAUUUAACAGUCUGGUCUGUAAAUUACACAUAUUUAUCACAUGAUAUUUUUUGUAGUUUUAAUUACUGUUUUACCAUGGUUCUGUUUUUUUUAAUUUAAUGCAACUUCGCCAACAAUGGCUUAUUUAAAACUGGUUUCUUUUUAGUUUUACCCCCGUCUUUCUCUAUUUAACUGUCUGGUCUGUAAAAUACACACCUUAUCACGUGAUAUUUUUUGUAGUUUUAAUUACUGUUUUAUCACAGCAAUUUAAUGCAACUUCGCCAAUGACUUAA